GAGUUUGAUCCUGGCUCAGGACGAACGCUGGCGGCGUGCCUAAUACAUGCAAGUCGAACGAACUCUGGUAUUGAUUGGUGCUUGCAUCAUGAUUUACAUUUGAGUGAGUGGCGAACUGGUGAGUAACACGUGGGAAACCUGCCCAGAAGCGGGGGAUAACACCUGGAAACAGAUGCUAAUACCGCAUAACAACUUGGACCGCAUGGUCCGAGCUUGAAAGAUGGCUUCGGCUAUCACUUUUGGAUGGUCCCGCGGCGUAUUAGCUAGAUGGUGGGGUAACGGCUCACCAUGGCAAUGAUACGUAGCCGACCUGAGAGGGUAAUCGGCCACAUUGGGACUGAGACACGGCCCAAACUCCUACGGGAGGCAGCAGUAGGGAAUCUUCCACAAUGGACGAAAGUCUGAUGGAGCAACGCCGCGUGAGUGAAGAAGGGUUUCGGCUCGUAAAACUCUGUUGUUAAAGAAGAACAUAUCUGAGAGUAACUGUUCAGGUAUUGACGGUAUUUAACCAGAAAGCCACGGCUAACUACGUGCCAGCAGCCGCGGUAAUACGUAGGUGGCAAGCGUUGUCCGGAUUUAUUGGGCGUAAAGCGAGCGCAGGCGGUUUUUUAAGUCUGAUGUGAAAGCCUUCGGCUCAACCGAAGAAGUGCAUCGGAAACUGGGAAACUUGAGUGCAGAAGAGGACAGUGGAACUCCAUGUGUAGCGGUGAAAUGCGUAGAUAUAUGGAAGAACACCAGUGGCGAAGGCGGCUGUCUGGUCUGUAACUGACGCUGAGGCUCGAAAGUAUGGGUAGCAAACAGGAUUAGAUACCCUGGUAGUCCAUACCGUAAACGAUGAAUGCUAAGUGUUGGAGGGUUUCCGCCCUUCAGUGCUGCAGCUAACGCAUUAAGCAUUCCGCCUGGGGAGUACGGCCGCAAGGCUGAAACUCAAAGGAAUUGACGGGGGCCCGCACAAGCGGUGGAGCAUGUGGUUUAAUUCGAAGCUACGCGAAGAACCUUACCAGGUCUUGACAUACUAUGCAAAUCUAAGAGAUUAGACGUUCCCUUCGGGGACAUGGAUGCAGGUGGUGCAUGGUUGUCGUCAGCUCGUGUCGUGAGAUGUUGGGUUAAGUCCCGCAACGAGCGCAACCCUUAUUAUCAGUUGCCAGCAUUAAGUUGGGCACUCUGGUGAGACUGCCGGUGACAAACCGGAGGAAGAUGGGGAUGACGUCAAAUCAUCAUGCCCCUUAUGACCUGGGCUACACACGUGCUACAAUGGAUGGUACAACGAGUUGCGAACUCGCGAGAGUAAGCUAAUCUCUUAAAGCCAUUCUCAGUUCGGAUUGUAGGCUGCAACUCGCCUACAUGAAGUCGGAAUCGCUAGUAAUCGCGGAUCAGCAUGCCGCGGUGAAUACGUUCCCGGGCCUUGUACACACCGCCCGUCACACCAUGAGAGUUUGUAACACCCAAAGUCGGUGGGGUAACCUUUUAGGAACCAGCCGCCUAAGGUGGGACAGAUGAUUAGGGUGAAGUCGUAACAAGGUAGCCGUAG
rnacentral:rRNA from 1 species